GUAGUGGUGGUUCAGUAGUAGAACUCUUGCUUUCCCUGAGGGAGACCCAAGUUCAAUUCCUGGCCAGUACA
rnacentral:tRNA from 1 species